rnacentral:lncRNA from 1 species
AAAUUUGCAUCAGCAGAUAUAAGUUAUCAUCAAUUGUUAGGAACAUUAAUCUUUAUUAAGGGACAAAUCUAUCCGUCAGUGAUAAUACUAAAAUGAGCCACUUUAAUUUACUAUUUCAGAUAAAUAAUUUAGAAGUAGAGUUAUCUCCCUUAGUCAUUUGAUUUUGAAAUAAGAACUAAUUUAAGUAAAAAAGUCAUAUUAUUUGUUUUUACAAAGUAUCUUGAAUUUCUGCAACAUAAAUUUCUCUAAUA